rnacentral:rRNA from 1 species
GAUGAACGCUGGCGGCGUGCCUAAUACAUGCAAGUCGAGCGAACGGACGAGAAGCUUGCUUCUCUGAUGUUAGCGGCGGACGGGUGAGUAACACGUGGAUAACCUACCUAUAAGACUGGGAUAACUUCGGGAAACCGGAGCUAAUACCGGAUAAUAUUUUGAACCGCAUGGUUCAAAAGUGAAAGACGGUCUUGCUGUCACUUAUAGAUGGAUCCGCGCUGCAUUAGCUAGUUGGUAAGGUAACGGCUUACCAAGGCAACGAUGCAUAGCCGACCUGAGAGGGUGAUCGGCCACACUGAAACUGAGACACGGUCCAGACUCCUACGGGAGGCAGCAGUAGGGAAUCUUCCGCAAUGGGCGAAAGCCUGACGGAGCAACGCCGCGUGAGUGAUGAAGGUCUUCGGAUCGUAAAACUCUGUUAUUAGGGAAGAACAUAUGUGUAAGUAACUGUGCACAUCUUGACGGUACCUAAUCAGAAAGCCACGGCUAACUACGUG